GGUUGGUCAUCAUUACCUUGUUGAUGCCCAUACAAGCUACAUGUGACUGACAAUUGUUUCUCUCUUCAUUAUUAUUUACAGUUUAACGCCCAUCCCACCCAGGGAGGGGUAACAUAUAUUUAUAACAAAAAUUAAUACAUGCAUGCCUAGAUGCAUUCAAUAGUGAUGGCAAUCGUUCCUGAAGUGCUAUUUCUAUCUA